AUUGAACGCUGGCGGCAGGCCUAACACAUGCAAGUCGAACGAGCGGCGGACGGGUGAGUAAUGUAUGGGGAACUGCCCGAUGGAGGGGGAUAACUACUGGAAACGGUAGCUAAUACCGCAUACCAUCAGAUGUGCCCAGAUGGGAUUAGCUAGUAGGUGGGGUAACGGCUCACCAAGGCGACGAUCUCUAGCUGGUCUGAGAGGAUGAACAGCCACACUGGAACUGAGACACGGUCCAGACUCCUACGGGAGGCAGCAUUGGGGAAUAUUGCACAAUGGGCGCAAGCCUGAUGCAGCCAUGCCGCGUGUAUGAAGAAGGCCUUCGGGUUGUAAAGUACUUUCAGCGGGGAGGCGUUACCCGCAGAAGAAGCACCGGCUAACUCCGUGCCAGCAGCCGCGGUAAUUC
rnacentral:rRNA from 1 species